UGGCACUAAAUAGAUGAUGUAAAGAAGACUUGUUCAUAUUAUGAGAGCUGAAACAAGAACACAGAACAUCAUGCGUUUCAGGUGACACAAAUGUUUGCUGACCUGUGGCUAUCCGAGAACACCUGCAGAAGUACUCAUCGUGCCUUCCCCUGGUGGCCUCCGAAGCUCAUGCAAGUUUGCAGGAAGAGACAUUCAGAGUGAAAUACGGCCUGAAAAGCCACUCCAAGUUGUAUUAUUUAUGAAACACAACACUCAACACAAGAAGAAACCCAAUACAGCACAUCAUUCUGCCUGCUCCGUGGCUUCUGCUUCUCAAGCGACUUAAAAUGAUUGGUGAACACGUGAGCAAUGCUUUCAGAUUAGAAGCAACUUUGUGCAUAAGCAUCCGUGGCUAUAUGGAAGCCAGGCCACUGCAGACAGAGCAUGCUUGACAGCGAUCUGAUGACCUAGAAACAUUUGCACAAUUCAGAGAGCUAAGGAUUACAUGUGUACUUUGUCUUCAAAGUACACAGUCUCCACCACAUUCAUUCAGCUGCACCCGACUUUCAUCUGUCUGUCUGAUGUAUGUGGCCCCUCAUGUAACAGAGGUGAUCCAAUGUCAGGCUGAAGGGGAAAAAAUAUCUGAUAGGAACAAUUCAUUGAGGUUCCUGGUACCUACUUACUCUUUUUUUUUUUUUUUUUUUUUGAGUCUCACUUUGUCUCCCAGGCUGGAGUGCAGUGGCGUGAUCUCGGCUCACUGCAACCCCCACCUCCCUGGUUCAAGUAAUUCUCCUGCCUCAGCCCCCCGAGUAGCUGAGAUUACAGGAUCCUCUCUCUGGGAGCCCUCAUCUACCUCCAGCUGCAAUCAUCACCACAGGAGUGAGAGAGAGACUUGGACCUGAGCUGGACCCUCCAGCCCUCCUUCGCUGAACUACCUUCCAACCUUAUGUUCCUACUGAUGUUUACCAGGUUAUUCAAUAAAUAUUGUAUGUUCUGUGGCAGUGGCCACCAGUCAUUUUCAAAUACCUGUUUUCCCUUCUUCCUUACCAAAAACACCCAUGGUUUUUAGCUGGACACCUGGUUGCCCAAAAUAAAC
rnacentral:lncRNA from 1 species